ACUCAAAUGAAUUGACGGGGGCCCGCACAAGCGGCGGAGCAUGUUGCUUAAUUCGACGCAACGCGAAGAACCUUACCAAGGCUUGACAUGGCCUCAAAAGCCGCAGAGAUGCGGUGUCCGCAAGGGGGGGUCACAGGUGGUGCAUGGCUGUCGUCAGCUCGUGUCGUGAGAUGUUGGGUUAAGUCCCGCAACGAGCGCAACCCUCGUCCUAUGUUGCCAGCGGGUAAUGCCGGGGACUCAUGGGAGACUGCCGGGGUCAACUCGGAGGAAGGUGGGGAUGACGUCAAGUCAUCAUGCCCCUUAUGUCUUGGGCUGCAAACAUGCUACAAUGGCCGGUACAGAGGGCUGCGAUGCCGUGAGGCGGAGCGAAUCCCGGAAAGCCGGCCUCAGUUCGGAUCGGGGUCUGCAACUCGACCCCGUGAAGUCGGAGUCGCUAGUAAUCGCGAAUCAGCAACGUCGCGGUGAAUACGUUCCCGGGCCUUGUACACACCGCCCGU
rnacentral:rRNA from 1 species